ensembl:lncRNA
UCAUUCACUCAUUGAUGGACUGAUUAAUUCAAGAACAAAAACCUUGCACAUUUUAUCCAUUUAUAGUUACAUUUAAUGUUUAGCUGCUGUUUUCACUUACAUUAUUACAUAAACAUUAAAGAAGUGUUCAGAACACAUCACCACAUCAAAAACGUACAGAUGUUUUAAAUACGUUUGUGUGGAGCAUACAGCAUACAAGUCCCUGUGUAAGAUGUUCUUAUAACGUAUAAGCAUAUUCUUAUUAACCAUAAUGAUAAUGAUCAUGAGUCUUUAUUGGUCACGUAUACAUUAAAGCACAGUGAAAUUCUUUUCUUCGCAUACCCCAGCAUGUCAGGAAGCUGGGGUCAGAGCGCAGGGUCAGUCAUGAUACAGCGCCCCUGGAGUAGAGAGGGUCGAGGGCUUUGCUCAAGGGCCCAACAGUGGCAGCUUGGCAGUACAUGCAGCCAUGCAGCUGACAUUACCGUAACAGACGUAACAGAAAAGUAAUAGAAGUAAUUUUAUACAGAGCAAGAUUCUUUGGUAUGAUAAAAAUUGGAACAGAUCUUUAUCAGCCUAUUUAUCUACUUUCUCUUUCUGCAUACAUACCCACCUACACAUAAGCUUACAGUGGAAACGCGAUAAAUCCCUCCUGCAUGCAAACACACCUUCAGAUUUCACUGAGAACGGAACAUGGCAGAGUUGCUUUUGAAAGCCCGGCUUCACCUCAUUGAGAGAGUUAAUGAAGCUCUCCUUAAGGAUCUUAUUGACGGUCUCAGGGCUGCAAACCCGCCAGUUCUUACUAGCAGGGAAGCGAAUGAGAUAUUGCAGGCCCACAAAGUGAUAGAAGACAAGACUGGAAUACUAAUAAAUAUGGUGUAUGAAAAAGGUGACACUGCCAGCGCCGUUAUGAUGUCUAUUUUGGAACAAAAAGAUGUAAACCUCGCCAAAUACCUUGGCUUUAUCCCGGACUAGCCCGUCAGACACAAAAUAUCAUGUAUGGACAUGAAUAGACUCAAUUAUAUAAAAAAUAAAUAAAUAAAUAAAAAACUCACCAGACCUGCCAAACAAGAAUGUGAAGGAAAUUUGAUCUUCAUUGCUUUUAACUUGUUUGAUAAAACUCAUGCCUGUGUGAGUAUGUUGUGGCACACAAAUAAAUAAAAAUCAAUUUGGACAAACCGAUCAUAAUCAUCUAUGAAUUGAACCUUUCUGUAAAUUAUCUGUACUUUU